rnacentral:rRNA from 1 species
UACAGGGGGUGCAAACGUUGCUCGGAAUCAUUGGGCGUAAAGCGCACGUAGGCGGUUCGUUAUGUCGGAUGUGAAAGCCCUUGGCUUAACCGAGGAAGUGCAUCCGAAACUGGCGAGCUUGAGUACUGAAGAGGAUCGCGGAAUUCCCGGUGUAGAGGUGAAAUUCGUAGAUAUCGGGAGGAACACCAGUGGCGAAGGCGGCGAUCUGGGCAGAUACUGACGCUGAGGUGCGAAAGCGUGGGGAGCGAACAGG